UACGUAGGGGGCGAGCGUUGUCCGGAUUUACUGGGCGUAAAGGGUGAGUAGGCGGUUAUAUAAGUCAGAUGUAAAAGGCACAGGCUUAACUUGUGUAAGCAUUUGAAACUGUAUGACUUGAGUGCAGGAGAGGUAAGUGGAAUUCCUAGUGUAGCGGUGAAAUGCGUAGAUAUUAGGAGGAACACCAGUGGCGAAGGCGACUUACUGGACUGUAACUGACGCUGAGUCACGAAAGCGUGGGUAGCAAACA
rnacentral:rRNA from 1 species